UUACAAACCCUAAAAAAAAACAAAGUUGCAGCCUAUACCAAGAUCCUCAGUUCCACAAGAUCACGACAUCGUUGAUGCUCCUCCUAAAAUUCUCAACAAUCAAAAAUCCCUCUCAAUUUUGCACAAUCUUCUCCCGAUUUCAUCUAUACAACAUAUGUUUUGGCUUGGCCGUCCUUCAGAUCUAAGUAGUGACCAACGGCCAUCUGGUUGCCACCGGAAAAGCUUAACUUCCCCGAUGAUGACUGCAUUGGUACCAGAUGGGCGAUAUUGAUUUGGCUACUGGAAUUACAAGCAUCAGGCGAUUGUUAAUGAAAAUGAUAUCAAAUGAUUUGGUUACGAAUUACGAUCAAAUAGGAAUGCUGAUAUGUUGUUUGGAAGAAUUACAAUUGUGGGUGGAAUUAAGGGGACGUCAGCAACAGAUUUUAUCAUAAAUCGCAUGAGCUCGAAUGAUAAGAGUUUCAGCCAUGUAGUCCUUUUACUAACUUUCCAGUUAUUUUUAUUUGUGGAGCUCACGGCUCAAGUUGAUGAUUUGCUUAGGAUGAAAACAAUUGAUAAUUGCUUCAUCCAUGAUACUCUUAAGGAAAUUCAUUGGUAACGUUGUAACCUUUCUUUUCAAAUGAUAGAUCUGAAUAAUAAAAAGGAGAAGGUAGGUAUGAUAUGCAACUGGUGUGAGAUUGCAAGUUGGAUGCUAAGUUGGGGUUUAAUCACCCCACCCUAUCUAUUUAUUUUCUGAAUACUGGUCAAUUUUACUAUCGGUCCAAACAUGGUGCCGAAUUGACACUCAAAAACACUUUUUUUGUCAAGAUUUAAUACAAAAUAAUGUGUUAUAUCCGUUAUUAUGGCCGUUCACUCCAUUUUGCAAGGAAUCAAGAUUUCAUAACCACCAGGAAUUGCAUCAACAAUCAUCAAGAAUCAAUAUAAUCCGUGUUAAUCAUCAAUUCUUGCUUCCAAUUUCUGAAUAUAGAUGAUCUGCCAUAUAUAUUUCCCUUGAUUUUCUCCAUCGAUCAAUGAUUCUGCGAAACCCUAAUUGGCGUUCAGCGUUCUCAUUCCCCAUUUGUGAUGACGGUCGCAAGGCGGUUUCAGAGUCUACGUUGACGCUAAUAUCUUCACCUAUACAGAGAUUUCUUUCUUUUCCACGAGGAUCCAAUCUCUUGAAGUCAAAAUCAAGACCAAAACCAAGGUAUUGGUGGUUUUGCAGUGCAGCAUCUUAAACAGACAUGAAUCAAAAUUUUACAAAUACUUCUGCUUCCCAAGUAAAUAAAAGUACACUAAUAGGUUCAGGGAUGGUUAGAUUUGAGCUGUCGAUCUCCUAAAAGCUCUGCAUAUAGCCGUUCGUUCUAUCGCUACCGAUUCAACCAGUCUUCAUUAGGCUCAUUAUUUCAGGGCUCGGCUUAUAACAACACUGGCUUGAGGGUGUCUUCUAAGUUGCCCAGAUACAUAGAUACAUGAUACUUUCAUGAUAGCCAACAUUGAUCCUAAUCUAUUUUAGCAAAGCUAACUAUUGAGUUUACCAAAAGUCUCACAUAAUGAUCUAUUUCUCUCUACACAUUAUUAUAUCUACUAUCUACUUGAUAAAUAAAAUCUUUUGUAUUGCUGGGUUUGGUGGUAAGUGCAGGUUAUUGGACUUGAGUUUGACUUGGAUGAUGGCUAGAAGCUUGAAGUUUGUUGCUGAUGCGUAUGAAAGUCGAUAGAGUUUUGAAGAUUGAUGUUUUUUGUUUGAACUGUAUUUUGUCUUGAUUUUGGUUGUUUUCGUUUGUUUUUUGUUUGGAUUUUGAAUAGGUUUUAUGUUUGUAAUACUUGGGCUGUGCGUGGUCGCGAGUAGAGUUAGAAGUAGUAAUUGGUAUUGGUUAGAGUGGUUGGGGUAGGGGUUUGUUAAAACCCGUUCUGUAAGGCCUUAGGCGUUUUUGAGGUUGGUGUUCUUCUUGGAGUAUGUCUCAGAAGACCCAAUGCUCUUUAGGUGUAACUAUUAUUUUUUUAAUUUUUAUUAAAAAAGUUUUGACGGGGUGCCGU
rnacentral:lncRNA from 1 species